rnacentral:rRNA from 1 species
UUGGUUUGAGGGCUGUUAGUUCGUGGUUUGUCGGUGGGUGUUGUACCUUUUGCAUUAUGAUCUAUUGAGGUUUUUCUCUUUAUUUGGGGGUUUCUCGAAGAGUGGCGAUUUUCCUUCAACCUGCUGAGAUCUGAGCGUUGUACAGGAUGUGUUGGUUGUUAGAGUUGAGGGAUGCUGUGAUAAAUAGUUCGUGCCAUUCUAUAGCUAGUUGGUUGUUUUCUUUUUCGUUUGUACUCAUUUUGUUUGGAUGUGAGGUGGGGGACAAGAGGCGGUUUAUUUUGUUUUGGGCUAGGUAUAGGUUGAGGGUACUUUGAUUUAUUUAGUGUGUUAAAACUAGUUUUGUGUGGAGUUUGCCUUUGUGGUGGUUUACAACUAUUUAAUUAGUUUUUAGGAGUAUGGUAGAAUAAGUAGUUUAAUUAGCCUUCUUUUUUCUCGGGUCCCUCCGAUCUGUUUAUUAAAAACAUUUCCAUUAUUUAAGGUUUGAUGGUAGGGCCUGCCCAAUGCGUAACGGUUAGGUGAAUGGCCGCAGUAUUUUGACUGUGCUAAGGUAGCAUAAUUAGUUGCCCUGUAAUUGAGGGAUUGUUUGAAAGGUUUGAUCAGGGGGGGGGAAUAAUUGCCUAGAUGGGGGUUUUUUUUGAAAUUGGUUUUUUGGUGCAGAACCCAAAUAUAAUAAGUAAGACGGAAAGACCCCGAGAGCUUAGAUUUAUUUUUUACCUGGGGAGGGGGUAUAUAAUUCAUGUAUUUUUGGAUCCUUCCGGGAUUAUAGGAAUAAGUUACCUCGGGGAUAACUAGGUAAGAAGCAAGGAGAGGUCAUAUUGAUUUGCUUGGUUGCCAUCUCGAUGUUGCCUUGGGAUAGCAAGAAGGCGCAGCAGCUUUUUUGUUGGGUCUGUUCGACCAUAGUUUCCCAUGAGUUGAGUUAAGACCGGUGUAAGCCAGGUCGGUUCUUAUCUGCUUGGGCUGUGUUCUAGUACGAAAGGAUUGUUCAUGGUUUAUGUUUA